UGGGGAAUCUUGGACAAUGGGGGCAACCCUGAUCCAGCCAUGCCGCGUGAGUGAUGAAGGCCUUAGGGUCGUAAAGCUCUUUCGCCUGUGAAGAUAAUGACGGUAGCAGGUAAAGAAACCCCGGCUAACUCCGUGCCAGCAGCCGCGGUAAUACGGAGGGGGUUAGCGUUGUUCGGAAUUACUGGGCGUAAAGCGCACGUAGGCGGACCAGAAAGUUGGGGGUGAAAUCCCGGGGGCUCAACCCCGGAACUGCCUCCAAAACUAUUGGUCUAGAGUUCGAGAGAGGUGAGUGGAAUUCCAAGUGUAGAGGUGAAAUUCGUAGAUAUUUGGAGGAACACCAGUGGCGAAGGCGGCUCACUGGCUCGAUACUGACGCUGAGGUGCGAAAAGUGUGGGGAGCAAACAGGAUUAGAUACCCUGGUAGUCACACCGUAAAACGAUGAAUGCCAGUCGUCGGGGUAGCAUGCUAUUCGGUGACACACCUAACGGAUUAAGCAUUCC
rnacentral:rRNA from 1 species